GCCAAAUUUUAAUUUCCAAUUCCGACGGGGAAAAGGGCAAAAACCAAAUUCAGUCCCUUAACGUCUCUUUCCCUCCUCCGACCCCUCUUAACUCCUGAAACCCUGAACAGUCACCUAACAAGCGAUCUCGUUUUCUCAGCGCAGAUUACUACGCUUCACUUUUUUUCCAAAUUACAGUAGAAACCCUGCGUCUAGCAAUAGCCAAACAUGGUGCGUAGUGCGCUUCUAGGGCGCAACUUAGCAAUACAUCCCUUAUAUGACGACUCCACCGCCAAAGCUAAUUUCAAUUCCAAAAUUCAGUCCCUAAGGUCUCUUUUCCCUCCUUCGCCCUCUCAAAAUCCUGAAACUCCAAACUGUCACCUGAGAUGCGAACUCGUUUUCUCACCACCGAUUGCUUCGCCUCUUCUUCCUGUCCAAUCGAAACCGUGAGAUUCUUCAAUCUCCCAGUCCCUCAUCUACCUCAUUUGCGUCUAUUUAACAACUACGAAGACAUUCUCCUCUUCGAUUCGCCGCUAGACGUCUCUCUCGUGAUCGAGAGAUUACCGAUCGAUCUCGUUCUCUUUAAGUUUUUGGCUGAAGUGAUUCCUCAACCUGUCGAUGUCGGAUAUGGCGAUUUUGAGGCCGAUCGCUUCCGAGAGAUUGAAGGUUCCGCUGAUAACGAAGGGAGAGUUGAGUCUCCAUUCUAUAAGUGCUAAAAAUAAGUUGAAGGAUUAUGAAACUGGUGAUUGUUGCUGGUCGGGACCCCAUCUAUUGUCUAUGUUUGUGUUUGAUUGCAGAAAAAAAGCUGAGACAUUCUUUGAGGAGGGAGAAGUGGAAAAACACGGAUAUUUUGGAUCUGAAACUCUGGAUGUUGAAUUAUCAGGAAUAUGAUUGUCUCUACUUAAAUUAUAUUUUCUUUUUCCAAUUUAAGCUUGUUAUCUUAACCUUUUCUCUUAAGUCUGAGUCAUGUCAAUGCAGGAGAAUAAUGGCACUUCUUGCCGUAUAAACAAUUUUGAAGUAACUUAGUUCAAGACAUGAGAUCUGGAUGUAUUCUCGGUAAAGUCAGAAAAUCAUAUGGACAUGGACAUUCCUUGAUUCUACAUCUAUAUAUAUAUAUUCAUCUUUACAUAUGCAUGUCAUGUGAUUUUGCAGGAGAGUGCCUGCUUUUCUGAGAAAGAGGAGAUACUGAUUAUCUCUGAAGUUCUAGAAAUUGAGCAUGAUGUUGUAAAUACCUGAAUCAUCUUUUCACUAUUAGUCUUUUAUGUAAUGCAUUUCAAAUUUGAAUUCUAUGUCCCUAGUGUCUGUCUUAGAUAUCUCGUGAUGGAGAAGGUACAUUGGGGUUUUACAAAACCAGGAAUCAUCAUCUUGAAUGGCAUUUAAUUUGGUAGUUUUCUGUACUACAGUUGUUCCUCACUGUGUGGUUAUAGAAGUCAUUACAAUAUAUGAUAGAGUUGGUUUGAUGCAGGAGGGUCCUCCUGCAUCAAGGUUUAAGAAAGUUUUACCAGUUGUUGAUGUUAUGAGAGGCUGAAGACUGGUCUUAAUGUGCAAAACGUGGGAAAGACUCAUAUGGAUUCAGGAUGUUUUAGUUUUUGGUUUGUUCUGCAGACGUUCUGCUCUUUGUGUUUCUAUAAUCAUAAAUCAAGAUUUGGCCUAACUUGGCUCUUUCUCUCAUGAUAUGCUCAAGCCAGAGCUUACCAUACAGUAUUCUAAUGAGGUUCAAAAAUCAGUUUAUUUUGUUGAAGAUGUUCCAUUCAAGUGCCCAGUGGAACAAACAGCCCAUGUGUCUGAAGAAGCUAGUUCUGUUAUGGAUAAAACACAGCUCUACCUUAACAUGAUUAUGGUGGAUGAACUUAUUUCAUUUUUGAAAAUAUUGAACCCCAUGAAUGGACUAAAACUGAUGAACUUCCUAUUAGCGGAAAGGACUUUUUAGAUUAUAUGGGGUAUGAUAUGUUAGAGCUUCAGUCGGAUCAUUGUCCAUCAAAGCAGUACCUGGAAUCUGAGCUGGCCUCUCUGAAUGUGUUUCAGAGAGUAGGCAUUAUAAGCACGGUGGAUUCUCUGAAAAUGAACAAGGACUGCAUUUCAUCAAUGGGCAUUAGACAGCAACUCUUCCUUUCCAGCAAGCCCAGUUAUUUUGUCAGGAGUUUGAGAUUAUUGAUGUGAACUCAUCUCAUCUUUUUGAAAUAUUCUUUGACACUGAAAGAAUAUAUGGGCUGGAAAUAGGUGACUCUGCAUUCAGAAAGGACAUGGGGACAUGAGGUAUAAAAAUUUUGAUGAAUUGAUUGUCAGUAAUGAGUUAACUCUGGUAGAUGACAUAUUCAAAUCAUUGCCUACACCAAUUGUCUCUGAUCAUGCAAGGAUAAGAUCACUUGAUGCCUAGAGUUUCUUAACAGAAUCAGGGAAAAGAGCAGACUGCUGCAGCAUUCCCUUCCAUGUGAUGCACCUUCACCAGGUUCUGAUUAUUUACGGAAUACAUCAAAAACUACAAAGAGAAGAAGUCCAUCGAUCCUUGAGUUUUUCAGGUAUCAAGGAAGCAGCUCACAUGGUAAAAUACCUAGAGGAAAGAAGCAGAAACAAUCUAUACGAUCAUCAAGCUCGUCCAAGAAUAAGAGUGCUUUAACUUCCUUUUAGCCAAUGUGGACAUCCAUUGACAAGAGAGCUAGACAGACUCUAUCUUUUGCCAUGAAUGGAAGUGAAAACCAAGCUAAACUGGUCUGGAGUAAGAGCAAUACUCAUGGUCCGAGCAAAUAAUUUCAGAAUCAUUCUUUAUGACGCUACAAGUUGAUUCUUAAAUUGGAUUCACAUAUUUUGUUGGACAUGGUUUAUAUGUUCAAGCCCAGUCUGCACUGCUGCAGUUCGUUUCAACUUGAUAGUAGCUUCAACAUUUUGUUUGAAGCAUACAUGUGAACGUGCUUCUGCAAUAUAUCCAAUGCGCACAUUUCAGAUGAACAAAUCGACUGGCGUGAGAAACUUCAAUCUGCUGCUUGGGCAAUUUUGAGCUCACCAGUUUGGCCAUGGCAAGUGUCAUAAAGGAGAUAACAUAUCAAGAGAUAAGUAUGUUUCAAUUCUGUCGGACUUUGAUAUAAUGGUCUCACAUAACUCAUCUGCUUGAUGCAUGCAUAGGCUUAUGUGUCCAACUCAUAGAUUUAUCUCUGAAUAUCUCUCUUGAAUAUCCUUUAACUCAUUUUCCAUACUUAUGUCCUUUUCCUUUAGAACUGCCAUCUCAGCCAACAGUUUGGUAAGUUUAAAAGUGGAUACUAACAACCCUUCCUCUUAUAGCAAGUUUCCACUUGUCUGUGAAAAGAGAUGAAAAUAGAAUUCAAAAUUGGACUCAGAUAUGAAACAAUGAACUUAAAACUCAUUAUGUAGAGGAAGAGCAACAUAAAGGUAGAGGAAAAAGCCUCCAAAUUAUAUCGAGCAUCUAAUUGUUUUCUGAAGAAAUGCUUCGGUUUUGCUUAAAAAAUCAACACACGAUCUAUCUUAAUUUUAAAUAUACUUUUAUUUUAUUUUUUAUACUUGUGAAUUAUAAGUUAAGAUAAUUAAAAUCGACAACGGUGAUUGAGGUUAGAAUUAGAUAUUAUUGCAAAAGCAAGCCAUAGCCACAAAGAUUGAUAUAUUAGUCACUCUUACUUUUAUAAGAUAAAGUGAGAGCGCCACACGCUAGGUGUAUGGUGGGGGCUUGUGGGACAAGCUAUGCUUUGCCAUUGUUGGUUGGUUGGUUGGUGGUUGGUUUGAAGUGUUGAAUAAAUUUGCUCUUAUCCUUUAUCAUUGAUAGUCUAAAUUAAUGUUAUUUAUUCUUAAUCAUUGGUGUAAAUAAUGGGUGUCAUUUGUUAAGAAUUGAUUACAGUUUAUCAUAAUAUAUUAAUAUGUCAUUUGUGAUGAACAUUCUUUUACCUAGUUUUUUUAACUUAAAUUAUGUAUUUUUUUUUUAAAUUUCAAUGUACAUUUUUUCAUUCUUA